GAUGAAGAACGUAGCAAAAUGCGAUAAGUAAUGUGAAUUGCAGAAUUCAGUGAAUCAUCGAAUCUUUGAACGCACAUUGCGCCCGCCAGUAUUCUGGCGGGCAUGCCUGUUCGAGCGUCAUUAUAACCCCUCAAGCUCAGCUUGGUGUUGGGGCCUGCUGCACUGGCAGCCCUUAAAAUCAGUGGCGGCGCCAUCUGGCUCUAAGCGUAGUAAUUCUUCUCGCUAUGGAGUCCUGGUGGAUGCUUGCCAUCAACCCCCAAUUUUUCUAUGGUUGACCUCGGAUCAGGUAGGGAUACCCGCUGAACUUAAGCAUAUCAAUAAGCGGAGGA
rnacentral:misc_RNA from 1 species